rnacentral:lncRNA from 1 species
UCAUCUUCAAUUUAACAAAAACUAGCAUGAAUCUCUGUUCAAUAAUCAGCAGUAAUACCUUAAACAAAUAAAAAAAUUUCAGAGCCAUUUUCAAUCUGUCACACGGCAGCAUAACAAAUCACAAGCCAUUUUCAAUCAAUCACAAGCUAACAUGCAUUUGCAACAAUCAUUCACCUACAACUAACAUUAAUCGAUGGAAAAAAAUGUAAGC